CCACCUAUUCACUUCCAAUAGACUCAGGAAGUAAACAGCAAUUAGUGAUUCGGUACAUCAGUUAUCCGCGUUGCUUUUGCUGGAGCAGAUGUCUAAAAUGGUCACCAGAGAGCGCUCCAGAAGUACAGGCAGAUGGCUCACACCCUACACGCUCAAAACACUGUGACAAUCCCCAACAGCUCCUCCGAGAGAAGGGACACACACGGCAUCUCCUAAUAAGUGGCAGUGCUGAAAGCGGAGUCGUCAGCACCAUGGAUAAUGCAUGACGGCUUGGCAAACCUUCAGCACCUCGGACAGCGGCGGCACCGCGUCAAGCAGCAAUGCCUCUUCUGACAGCACAACUCAAUAUAGCUGUACAAUGUUUUAACUCAACUCUUGGCAAGUGGGAAAUGUGAGGCCUGCUGAAAUCUGAGAAGCACAGAAUAUGCCGUGUAAACCUUCUGUCUACAUUGCAGGGUAAUUUUUGGCUCCCCUGUCUGCUGGUGAAGAGUGCAGAGCUGAAUGACAAUGCAAUGUCUGUUGAGUUCUGCUUAAGGUGGAGAGAUGUGAUGUAAAUGAGGGCAUGCUAACAAAUUUAACAGAAAACCAUCAGUCUUGUGUUUAAAUUAAGAUGUUUUAUUUUUUAAAGGUUAAAGUUGUAGGUCACAAUUCUAAAGGUGUUUCAAUUUAUAUGGGUUUCUAUGGGAUUUUUGGUUUUACAUUAUAUUAGUAAGGAGGAGCAAAGACAAUAUUAGAACUAUUACAUUUAUUUAAGAUUAUGGAGAAAAUUAUUACACUUUGGUACUCACUUUAAAAAACUACUGUGUCAAAACUUUGUAAACAUAAAAAAACAAAUCAUACAUAUCGAUAAUAAAAACAUAUUAUUUUAGAGUUUUUUUUUCUAGUCAUGUAAUAGAUAUACAAACAAAUAAAUAAAUGCUAAUC
ensembl:processed_transcript